GCUGGAGAGUCGUGUUUCGGGGGACUGAGGAAACCUAUCAGGAACGGAAGAUGCUGAAACCAAUCAAUGUCUGGAUUACCACCAUGGAUGCAGAGCUGGAGUUUGCAAUCCAGCCAAAUACAACUGGAAAACAACUUUUUGAUCAAGUUGUUAAGACUAUUGGCCUCCAGGAAGUGUGGUACUUUGGCCUCCAGUAUGUGGAUAAUAAAGGAUUUCCUACUUGGCUGAAACUUGAUAAAAAGGUGUCUGCCCAGGAGCUCAGGAAGGAGAAUCCCCUCCAGUUCAAGUUUCGGUCCAAGUUCUACCCUGAAGACAUGGCUGAGGAGCUCCUCCAGGACAUCACCCAGAAACUCUUCUUCCUCCAAGUGAAGGCGGGAAUCCUCAGUGACGAGAUUUACUGCCCUCCCAAGACCGCAGUGCUCCUGGGGUCCUAUGUUGUGCAGGCCAAGUUUGGGGAUUAUAACAAAGAGGUGCACAAGGCCAGGUACCCAACUCAGAGCGGCUGAUCCCUCAGAGAGUUAUGGACCAGCACAAACUCACCAGGGACCAGUGGGAGGACCGGAUCCAGGUGUGGCACGCGGAGCACCACAGGAUGCUCAAAGACAGUGCUAUGCUGGAGUAUCUCAAGAUAGCUCAGGACUUGGAAAUGUAUGGGAUCAACUAUUUCGAGAUCAAAAAUAAGAAAGGAACAGACCUCUGGCUUGGAGUUAAUGCCCUUGGACUAAAUAUUUACGAGAAGGAUGAUAAAAUUGACCCCAAAGAUUGGCUUCCAGGCUCGGCGCCUGUGGCUCAAAAUCUGGUCACCCUAGGCAAGGAGGAUAAGGUGGAAGAGUGGCAGCACAGGGCAGCACAGGAGGACCUGGUGAAGACCAAGGAGGCGCUGCACCUGGCGAUGACGGCGCCCCCACCCUCGCUACCCCUCCUGUAUGAGCCAGUCACCUACCACAUGCCCGAGGGCCUGCAAGAGGAGGAGGGCACAGAGCCCAUGGGCUAUAGCGGGGAGCUGUCCAGUGAGGGCAUCCUGGACGACCGAAACGAAGAGAAGCGCAUCACCGAGGCUGAGAAGAACGAGCGCGUGCAGCGGCAGCUGCUGACGCUGAGCAACGAGCUGUCCCAGGCCAGAGAUGAGAACAAGAGGACCCACAACGACAUCAUCCACAACGAGAACAUGAGGCAGGGCCGGGACAAGUACAAGACGCUGAGGCAGAUUCGGCAGGGCAACACCAAGCAGCGGAUCGAUGAGUUUGAGGCCAUGUAAUGGCCAGGACUGUGGGCAGAGGGGCACCCGGAGGGCCCUGCCAGCCUUGUCACACCUGUAUCUUUAGCAC